rnacentral:misc_RNA from 1 species
CUGUCCACCAUACAGAAGCACCUGAAACAAUUUGUUUGCGCAAUUAGUAACUGCAAAAAUUGAGGUACCCUUUUCCUUUUUCUUUCUAAUAUUUGGCCAUUGUAGAAGAUGGUGAAAAACGAAGUUUAACAUUGAUUAAAUUUACUUUUUUUUUGAAUAAGGUAGAGUCAUACCAGCAGCCUAAUUCUGCAGGACACAUCAUCAUUGACAGUCUCCAAAGCAACACAUUUACAAAGAAAAG